GAUGAACGCUGGCGGCGUGCCUAAUACAUGCAAGUCGAGCGAACAGACGAGGAGCUUUCUCCUCUGACGUUAGCGGCGGACGGGUGAGUAGCACGUGGAUAACCUACCUAUAAGACUGGGAUAACUUCGUGAAACCGGAGCUAAUACCGGAUAAUAUAUUGAACCGCAUGGUUCAAUAGUGAAAGACGGUUUUGCUGUCACUUAUAGAUGGAUCCGCGCCGCAUUAGCUCGUUGGUAAGGUAACGGCUUACCAAGGCAACGAUGCGUAGCCGACCUGAGAGGGUGAUCGGCCACACUGGAACUGAGACACGGUCCAGACUCCUACGGGAGGCAGCAGUAGGGAAUCUUGCGCAAUGGGCGAAAGCCUGACGGAGCAACGCCGCGUGAGUGAUGAAGGUCUUCGGAUCGUAAAACUCUGUUAUUAGGGAAGAACAAAUGUGUAAGUAACUAUGCACGUCUUGACGGUACCUAAUCAGAAAGCCACGGCUAACUACGUG
rnacentral:rRNA from 1 species